UACGGGGGGAGCAAGCGUUUGUUCGGAUUUACUGGGCGUAAAGGGCGGGUAGGCGGCCACCGCAAGUCAGUUGUGAAAUCUCCGGGCUUAACCCGGAAAGGUCAACUGAUACUGCGGGGCUAGAGUGCAGAAGGGGCAACUGGAAUUCUCGGUGUAGCGGUGAAAUGCGCAGAGAUCGGGAGGAACACCAAUGGCGAAAGCAGGUACCUGGACUAUUACUGACGCUAAGCUGCGAAAGCUAGGGGAGCAAACAGG
rnacentral:rRNA from 1 species